rnacentral:rRNA from 1 species
GACGAACGCUGGCGGCGUGCUUAACACAUGCAAGUCGAACGGAAAGGCCCUGCUUUUGUGGGGUGCUCGAGUGGCGAACGGGUGAGUAACACGUGAGUAACCUGCCCUUGACUUUGGGAUAACUUCAGGAAACUGGGGCUAAUACCGGAUAGGAGCUCCUGCUGCAUGGUGGGGGUUGGAAAGUUUCGGCGGUUGGGGAUGGACUCGCGGCUUAUCAGCUUGUUGGUGGGGUAGUGGCUUACCAAGGCUUUGACGGGUAGCCGGCCUGAGAGGGUGACCGGCCAAAUUGGGAAGGGGAUACGGCCCAGACACCUACGGGGGGGAGGAGGGGGGAAUAUUGCACAAUGGGGGGAAGCCUGAUGCAGCAACGCCGCGGGCGGGAUGAGGGCCUUGGGGUUGUAAACCGCUUUCGCCUGUGACGAAGCGGGAGUGACGGUAAUGGGGAAAGAAGCACCGGCUAACUACGU